GGCGAACGCUGGCGGCGUGCCUAAUACAUGCAAGUAGAACGCUGAAGGAGGAGCUUGCUUCUCUGGAUGAGUUGCGAACGGGUGAGUAACGCGUAGGUAACCUGCCUGGUAGCGGGGGAUAACUAUUGGAAACGAUAGCUAAUACCGCAUAAUAGCAGUUGUUGCAUGACAACUGUUUGAAAGGUGCAAUUGCACCACUACCAGAUGGACCUGCGUUGUAUUAGCUAGUUGGUGGGGUAACGGCUCACCAAGGCGACGAUACAUAGCCGACCUGAGAGGGUGAUCGGCCACACUGGGACUGAGACACGGCCCAGACUCCUACGGGAGGCAGCAGUAGGGAAUCUUCGGCAAUGGACGGAAGUCUGACCGAGCAACGCCGCGUGAGUGAAGAAGGUUGUCGGAUCGUAAAGCUCUGUUGUAAGAGAAGAACGAGUGUGAGAGUGGAAAGUUCACACUGUGACGGUAUCUUACCAGAAAGGGACGGCUAACUACGUG
rnacentral:rRNA from 1 species